ensembl:lncRNA
GUUUGGCAGCCAAGGGGGAAAUAUCUCUUUGGAUGGAGAUUGUAUUUCUCUUGAUUUAUUACUAAAUGGUGGAAAGGAUGAGCUAAUUUUUCUUCUUGGUUACCUUCUGUUGUUCUGUGGUACUUGUAGCCUGUUAGGAGGAACUGUUACCAUCUUUCACUCUCACUCGUGAUGAGAGUGGUUGUGAAACAUUUGUUUCUCAGCCAUUUGGAAGGUUACUGAAGGGGAAUGGGUUGUUAUGAAGCUGAGCUGCAAAUGUGGAAACAGAAUACUUGUGAGUGCAGCCUAUCUUAAUACUUAGAGCCUCAAUCACAAAACCAGAUUCACAGAGUUUUUUCAGCAAAAAAAGGAAAAAGAAAAAAGCAAUCAAUUCAUAGUGAUCCUAUCAUCCUGUGGCAUUCUCUAUUAACAGCCUUAAUAUACA